rnacentral:tRNA from 1 species
UAAAUAAACAGCCUUAGUAGCUUAAC